rnacentral:rRNA from 1 species
CCUACGGGUGACAGCAGUGGGGAAUAUUGCACAAUGGGGGAAACCCUGAUGCAGCGACGCCGCGUGAGUGAAGAAGUAAUUCGUUAUGUAAAGCUCUAUCAGCAGGGAAGAAAAUGACGGUACCUGAGUAAGAAGCCCCGGCUAACUAGGUGCCAGCAGCCGCGGUAAGACGUAGGGGGCAAGCGUUAUCCGGAUUUACUGGGUGUAAAGGGAGCGUAGACGGCAGUGCAAGUCUGGAGUGAAAGGCGGGGGCUCAACCCCCGGACUGCUCUGGAAACUGUACGGCUGGAGUGCAGGAGAGGUAAGUGGAAUUCCUAGUGUAGCGGUGAAAUGCGUAGAUAUUAGGAGGAACACCAGUGGCGAAGGCGGCUUACUGGACUGUAACUGACGUUGAGGCUCGAAAGCGUGGGGAGCAAACAGGAUUAGAUACCCUUGUAGUC